rnacentral:misc_RNA from 1 species
AACGCAAAUUGCACUUUCUGGUAUUCCGGAAAGUAUGCCUGUUUGAGGGUCAGUUAAAUAAAAAUCGGUGUUGUUGCUGCUAUUAGUGGUGAUGCAUCGGAAUUGAGUUGUUCUUUGCCCUUUGGUAUAAGUGACUUAAAAUUUGUACGAUUUUUGAACGUAUUUAAAUUAUUUACGUACGUUCAUAAUAUCAUAUAUUAGGUGCGGUCAUUCUUAUGAUUUCGCGCCUAUAAUUUUUUCAUUAUUUGACCUCAAAUCAGGUAAGAAUACCCGCUGAACUUAA